UACAGAGGCCCCAAGCGUUACUGAGAAUCACUGGGUUUAAAGGGUGCGUAGGUGGCGCGUUAAGUCCGUUGUGAAAGCCCUGGGCUCAACCUAGGAAGUGCAUUCGAAACUGCGGGGCUGGAGUCCUGGAGAGGAAGGCGGAAUUCUCGGUGUAGAGGUGAAAUUCGUAGAUAUCGAGAGGAACACCGGUGGCGAAGGCGGCCUUCUGGACAGUGACUGACGCUGAGACGCGAAAGCGUGGGGAGCAAACAGG
rnacentral:rRNA from 1 species